rnacentral:rRNA from 1 species
UGGCUCAGGAUGAACGCUGGCGGCGUGCCUAAUACAUGCAAGUCGAGCGAACGGACGAGAAGCUUGCUUCUCUGAUGUUAGCGGCGGACGGGUGAGUAACACGUGGAUAACCUACCUAUAAGACUGGGAUAACUUCGGGAAACCGGAGCUAAUACCGGAUAAUAUUUUGAACCGCAUGGUUCAAAAGUGAAAGACGGUCUUGCUGUCACUUAUAGAUGGAUCCGCGCUGCAUUAGCUAGUUGGUAAGGUAACGGCUUACCAAGGCAACGAUGCAUAGCCGACCUGAGAGGGUGAUCGGCCACACUGGAACUGAGACACGGUCCAGACUCCUACGGGAGGCAGCAGUAGGGAAUCUUCCGCAAUGGGCGAAAGCCUGACGGAGCAACGCCGCGUGAGUGAUGAAGGUCUUCGGAUCGUAAAACUCUGUUAUUAGGGAAGAACAUAUGUGUAAGUAACUGUGCACAUCUUGACGGUACCUAAUCAGAAAGCCACGGCUAACUACGUGCCAGCAGCCGCGGUAAUACGUAGGUGGCAAGCGUUAUCCGGAAUUAUUGGGCGUAAAGCGCGCGUAGGCGGUUUUUUAAGUCUGAUGUGAAAGCCCACGGCUCAACCGUGGAGGGUCAUUGGAAACUGGAAAACUUGAGUGCAGAAGAGGAAAGUGGAAUUCCAUGUGUAGCGGUGAAAUGCGCAGAGAUAUGGAGGAACACCAGUGGCGAAGGCGACUUUCUGGUCUGUAACUGACGCUGAUGUGCGAAAGCGUGGGGAUCAAACAGGAUUAGAUACCCUGGUAGUCCACGCCAUAAACGAUGAGUGCUAAGUGUUAGGGGGUUUCCGCCCCUUAGUGCUGCAGCUAACGCAUUAAGCACUCCGCCUGGGGAGUACGACCGCAAGGUUGAAACUCAAAGGAAUUGACGGGGACCCGCACAAGCGGUGGAGCAUGUGGUUUAAUUCGAAGCAACGCGAAGAACCUUACCAAAUCUUGACAUCCUUUGACAACUCUAGAGAUAGAGCCUUCCCCUUCGGGGGACAAAGUGACAGGUGGUGCAUGGUUGUCGUCAGCUCGUGUCGUGAGAUGUUGGGUUAAGUCCCGCAACGAGCGCAACCCUUAAGCUUAGUUGCCAUCAUUAAGUUGGGCACUCUAAGUUGACUGCCGGUGACAAACCGGAGGAAGGUGGGGAUGACGUCAAAUCAUCAUGCCCCUUAUGAUUUGGGCUACACACGUGCUACAAUGGACAAUACAAAGGGCAGCGAAACCGCGAGGUCAAGCAAAUCCCAUAAAGUUGUUCUCAGUUCGGAUUGUAGUCUGCAACUCGACUACAUGAAGCUGGAAUCGCUAGUAAUCGUAGAUCAGCAUGCUACGGUGAAUACGUUCCCGGGUCUUGUACACACCGCCCGUCACACCACGAGAGUUUGUAACACCCGAAGCCGGUGGAGUAACCUUUUAGGAGCUAGCCGUCGAAGGUGGGAC